UACGAAAGGGGCUAGCGUUGUUCGGAAUUACUGGGCGUAAAGCGCACGUAGGCGGCCUUGUAAGAUGGGGGUGAAAUCCCCGGGCUCAACCCGGGAACUGCCUUCAUGACUGCAAAGCUUGAGGAUGUGAGAGGUUGGCGGAAUUCCGAGUGUAGAGGUGAAAUUCGUAGAUAUUCGGAAGAACACCAGUGGCGAAGGCGGCCAACUGGCACAUUUCUGACGCUGAGGUGCGAAAGCGUGGGGAGCAAACAGG
rnacentral:rRNA from 1 species